rnacentral:misc_RNA from 1 species
AACAGUGCACCGUGGGGUCUCUUUGAAAUUACUAGCAAGGCUGACAAAAUGCGAGGAUUUCAAUGUCUCAUACUCUGCGUUUUGCUUUACUCGGCUUCCGUUGACGCGUUCGGAACAUGUGCAGAUGCUAAUGAUGACGAUAGCUGUCCAGAGAAUGCCACAUGUGAGGAUGAAAAUGCAGACAGCACUUUUGAAUGCGAGUGUGAGGACGGUUUCGAUGAGAGCGAUUCUGGCGUAACUGUUGGUGGAACCGCAUUGACAGUUUGUGUUGAUCUCGGCGUUUGCAGUCCGUUAGACAACGUGGAUGACUGUGGGAAUGGACAAUGUGUAAUCUACGAAAACGAAUUUGGAAUAUUUGAAGCUGCCUGUCUAUGCAACGAUGGAUACUACGGAUAAAAAUGUGACAAACUGAUGCCACCAACAACGAUGUAUACAACUACUACUCCUACUACUGGCACGACUAAGAGGUCAGGAUAUGGAGUCAUCAUCCCGUUCAUUGGGGGAGGGGCAAUUUUCAUAGUCCUACUAAUCCUACUGGCUGGAGGAGCUGCAGCGCUGGCGUCCUCAACUGGAUUGAUGUCCUCAAGGUCCUCAAGAUCCUCAAACUACAACAAAUGAUUCUGAUUAUGUCACUGAUUGGAAUUUGAAAUAAAUGAUUAGGCAGUU